AUACGGAGGGUGCAAGCGUUAUCCGGAUUCAUUGGGUUUAAAGGGUACGUAGGCGGAUAGAUAAGUUAGUGGUGAAAUCCCGAAGCUCAACUUCGGAACUGCCAUUAAAACUGUCUAUCUUGAAUUUGGUUGAAGUGGGCGGAAUAUGACAUGUAGCGGUGAAAUGCAUAGAUAUGUCAUGGAACACCGAUAGUGAAGACAGCUCACUAAGCCAAUAUUGACGCUGAGGUACGAAAGCAUGGGUAGCGAACAGGAUUAGAAACCCCGGUAGUCC
rnacentral:rRNA from 1 species